rnacentral:pre_miRNA from 1 species
GAUUUCAAUUGAAAAAGUCAUCAACAACAAAGUUGAAUAACUCAUUAAGAUCUAAAACUUUUAUUUUUGAUAUUUCUUCAUCUGACGAAAUGUUAGUAAUAUUAUUCACAAAUUUUACAUAUAUGUGUUAUAGUUUUAUAAAACCAGAUAAGAGAUAUGUCAAUUUUGUGAACAAUGUUACUAUCACUUUGUCGUAUGAAGAAAUGACCAAAAUAAAAGUUUUAGAUCUUGAUGAGUUAUUCAACUUUGUUAUUGAUGACUUUUUCAGUUGAUAUC